rnacentral:lncRNA from 1 species
CAAAUUUUUGUGUUUAAUUAAUUUUGAAACAUUACUGCAAUACAUGUUUCUUGGUAUGGAGUUUCACUAACAACAGGGGCAUAAACUCUAGCCUCUUCCGCAGGCAUCUCACCCGAGGAAUCCAGUGAUGGGAACCCAUUUGCAGGCUAAAACGCAAACGGGAAGGGAAAAAUGGGCGUAAGGAAGGGAAAAAUUAGGGGGGUGGAAAGCAAUUUGCCCGACUUUUUCGGAUUGUGCCCGAGUUGUCAAAAAGAAUUUCCCGGAGAAAAUUUCCAAAAGUGUUGUCGAUGGGGGGGGAGGGGGGCGUGUAUUAAGUGAUUAUGAAAAUUUCCUACUAAAUAGAAUAUUUCCC